rnacentral:rRNA from 1 species
UACGUAGGGUGCUAGCGUUGUUCGGAAUCACUGGGCGUAAAGCGCACGUAGGCGGAUGUGUCAGUCAGGGGUGAAAUCCCGGAGCUCAACUUCGGAACUGCCUUUGAUACAGCACGUCUUGAGUCCGAUAGAGGUGGGUGGAAUUCCUAGUGUAGAGGUGAAAUUCGUAGAUAUUAGGAAGAACACCGGUGGCGAAGGCGGCCCACUGGAUCGGUACUGACGCUGAGGUGCGAAAGCGUGGGGAGCAAACAGG